rnacentral:rRNA from 1 species
ACGCUCGACACCUACGAGAGGCAGCAGUGAGGAAUAUUGGUCAAUGGGCGCAGGCCUGAACCAGCCAAGUAGCGUGAAGGAUGACUGCCCUAUGGGUUGUAAACUUCUUUUAUAUGGGAAUAAAGUUUUCCACGUGUGGAAUUUUGUAUGUACCAUAUGAAUAAGGAUCGGCUAACUCCGUGCCAGUAGCCGCGGUAAUCUGAGCGGGCUGGCAAGGC